CUGCUUUUUUGGGCAAGUACAUCUGCUAAAGACCAAACAUCUGUGUGUUCCGCGGUCCCAGGAGCAGGGUCUGCCUCUGGAAUUCUGGUCACACCUUUGUACCCUGGCCUCACCUCUCCGCAGGUCACAGGUACAGCAGGGCUUCCUUGGCGUCAGGCUUCUUUCCCUCUUGCUGCUCCGACAGAAGUUGCGUUCUCCUGCCCAAGGUAGCAGGGCUGUGCCGCCUUCGUCCUAACAGACCUAGGCUGGGCACUUGGCUCUGUGCCCGGAGAGGAGAGAAGCUGGAACGUGGAGUCUGCCGUCUGCUGGCAGAGCACCUGUGCCCAUCGGGAUGCGCUGGCGGUGGGGACCCCAGUCGGCCUGGGCAGCGGAAGGCGCGGUGCCUGCAGGGAGCUCUGUGCUGAAGUCGGGCAUGCUGCAGAUGCCCAGGGCAGAGGAGCUCAUAGCUCAGUCCGGGCCCGAGGAACAAAGGCUGACCUGGAGUGCGAAGCCUCAGAACGUUCCAUCUGGCACUCGCUGUGGGCCCUAAGGUCGUCGGGUGAGAAGGAAGAAAGUUCAUGAUGCAGAGCUCAGCCACGGCGCCGAGGUUCCAAGUAAAGACAACAGCGCGUGCCGGGGAGUGACGCUGGCGCACAGCUUCAGUGGCAGAGCUAAGGGAGAAAUGGCGUGUGCUCUGGAGGGGGCUCGGGAUGGUUUCCCAUAGGAGGCUGCUUCUCGGAGGAAGCUGAAGGAAGCAUGCAGCUGAUGCGGGGAGGGGGGACUUCCCAGCAGGAAACAGACGCCAGGGCGUGGCAUUUGCUGGUGCCUCAGGAUAAUCCAUCAUAAAACCUCUUUUCUUUUUUUUGAGACAGGGUCUUGCUAUGUAGUUCAGGCUGGCCUCGAACUCGAGCCUAUCCUCCUGCUUCAGUCUCCCAAGGACUGGGAUUACAGCUGUGCACCACCAUGCCCAGCCUCUAUCUCCUUUUAAAAAUGUACCCUGCAUUUUCUCCCUUAUUUUAAAAUAAACCAUCUCCCACUAAAAACCCAGCCUCUCUCCUGAUCACGGACCCACGUUUCUGUCUCUUCCCCUAUUUGAGCUCCCAUCACUUCUUUUGUGAUUUUCUUCUAUAU
rnacentral:lncRNA from 1 species